CAUGUACUCCCUCCGUUCCAAAUUACUUGUCGCUGAAAUGGAUGUAUCUAGAACAAAAAUACAUCUAGAUACAUCCAUACGUGCGACAAGUAAUGUGGAACGGAGGGAGUAUCAU
rfam:Triticum aestivum genome assembly, contig: Triticum_aestivum_CS42_TGACv1_scaffold_408881_5BL